rnacentral:rRNA from 1 species
UACGAAGGGAGCUAGCGUUGUUCGGAAUUACUGGGCGUAAAGCGCGUGUAGGCGGCUAAGUAAGUCGGGCGUGAAAUCCCACGGCUCAACCGUGGAAGUGCACUCGAAACUGCAUAGCUAGAGUCCUGGAGAGGAAGGUGGAAUGCUUGGUGUAGAGGUGAAAUUCGUAGAUAUCAAGCGGAACACCGGUGGCGAAGGCGGCCUUCUGGACAGUGACUGACGCUGAGACGCGAAAGCGUGGGGAGCAAACAGG